UAAACAGCUGUGCCAUCAUAUCAGGGGGCAGGAGACGGUAAAAGUCCUCGAUUGAAACAUCUGGGAACUUCGCUCUUUAGCUUGUUAGCUUGUCGAUGUUUCAGUUUUAUUCGCUGGGAAAAUUAAUAAUCAGCUUGAGGUGACUCUGCUGCACUCUAGUGGCGAGAAGCC